UCGGAAAUGCCACUUUAUAAAUGGAGACAAUUACUUUACAAUUACUCAAACCCCUUAAAUAUUUCUUUUUGUAUUAUUAACAAUUCUUACUUCUUUUCCAUUUCUUCAAUUUCACACUGUAAUUUUCAUAUUAGGUUGGACAUAUUGCCAAAGAAUGGGAAUAUUCAUUGGGCCCUUUAAUCAAGUUUGAAAGAAAGGAGGUGGAAGUUAGAAUUCACAACUCUGGCGAGGGACCCCAAAUUGAAUGCGAGAUAAGCUUCCCGUUUGACAAGAACCUAGAUUUUGUCUGGAUAAGAGUGUACAGGGAGGAGGUUCGGAAGCAAGGAGGAAUAAUCCCAGGAGUGAGGACUAAAUUCAUUUUUGACCAAAAUCUACUUAAUUAAACAAUUGAUGUAAACAACUAUUUUUUUAUUUGAACAAUAAAUUUACAAUAUAG